rnacentral:lncRNA from 1 species
AGCCUUCGCUUAGUUGGGUGAUUCGUGUCGGAUUUGGAUUCGAGUAGUGUGUACUUGUCGUUGAUCUAUGAUUAGAAGCAUAGUAAUUGAGUUAAUGACCAACCGUUUUCACAUUCCAUUUUUACAUUUCUGUUUACCUUUCUAUUUGCAUCUGUGUUUACGUUUCUGUUUGCAUCCCUGUUUUAAUUUUGUUUAUCCGCAUUCACAAGAACCUUUCAAAACCCC